UUCCCUGGUGAAGAGAGGGAGGGCUCAGCCGGUGGACAGUCCUGGCCAGCAGCUGCGAGGGCUAGAGCCCAGGGAUGAGUGUGCCCAGGGGAGAUGCGAGCCCCGCGGGCCUCCCUCUGACCUGUCGCUGAAGCACGCCCCCCGCCCCAGGCCCAGCAUGCGCCUGUCGGUGCGGAGGGCGCUGCUGGCAGCUGGCUUCGCCCUGGCCCUGGUGCUGGCGGUCCAGCUGGGGCAGCAGGUGCUGGAGUGCCGGGCGGUGCUGGGGGGCCCGCUGGGCCCCCGACGGACCAUGCAGCCGGAGCAGGAGGACCUGGUGAUGGUGGGCAUGGACCACGUGGAGUACCGCUACAGCAAGGCCAUGCCGCUUAUCUUCGUGGGGGGCGUGCCCCGGAGCGGCACCACGCUGAUGCGCGCCAUGCUGGACGCCCACCCCGAGGUGCGCUGCGGCGAGGAGACCCGCAUCAUUCCCCGCGUGCUGGCCAUGCGCCAGGCCUGGUCCAAGUCCGGCCGGGAGAAGCUGCGGCUGGACGAGGCGGGCGUGACGGACGAGGUGCUGGACGCCGCCAUGCAGGCCUUCAUCCUGGAGGUGAUCGCCAAGCACGGUGAGCCGGCCCGCGUCCUCUGCAACAAGGACCCCUUCACGCUCAAGUCAUCCGUCUACUUGUCGCGCCUGUUCCCCAACUCCAAGUUCCUGCUGAUGGUGCGGGACGGCCGGGCCUCCGUGCACUCCAUGAUCACCCGCAAGGUCACCAUCGCCGGCUUCGACCUCAGCAGCUACCGCGACUGCCUCACCAAGUGGAACAAGGCCAUCGAGGUGAUGUACGCCCAGUGCAUGGAGGUGGGCAAGGACAAGUGCCUGCCCGUGUACUACGAGCAGCUGGUGCUGCACCCCCGGCGCUCCCUCAAGCUCAUCCUCGACUUCCUCGGCAUCGCCUGGAGCGAUGCCGUCCUGCACCACGAGGACCUCAUCGGCAAGCCCGGGGGCGUCUCCCUGUCCAAGAUUGAGCGAUCCACAGACCAGGUCAUCAAACCCGUGAACCUGGAAGCUCUCUCCAAGUGGACCGGCCACAUCCCCAGGGAUGUGAUGAGGGACAUGGCCCAGAUCGCCCCCAUGCUGGCUCGGCUCGGCUACGACCCCUAUGCAAACCCACCCAACUACGGCAAUCCUGACCCCAUUGUCGUCAACAACACACACCGGGUCUUGAAAGGGGACUAUAAAACACCAGCCAAUCUGAAGGGAUAUUUUCAGGUGAACCAGAACAGUACCUCCUCCCACUUAGGAAACUCAUGAUUUCCAGAUCUCUGCAAAUGGCUUUGUUGCCGGAAGAGAAGAAACUUUGCAUUCGAGUGGAAAUCGGACCUCUAAUCCAAGCAUAUUGCUUGCUAUUAAUCGCCAAAUCAGGACUGCUCCAGUGGGAUGGGGCAGUUGGAGCCAUGGACACCGGAAGCUCGUGGUCACCCCUCAAGGGGUAGCAGAAGACAUCCAGCCUCGCUCACUGUCCCACUCACCUGGUGCUGCAGACCAGCUGGCCCCCAGCUUCAGGACUUAAAACCAUUUGUUUUGUUUUGUUCUGUUUUGUUUUGUUUUGUUUUGUGGCAGGGAGGUCAUUGGGUUUAUUUAUCAAUUUGUUUUUUUAAAGGAGGCACUGGGGAUUGAACCUAGGACCUUGUGCAUACAAAGCACGCACUCUACCACUGAGCUAUGACCCUCCCCCCGUUAAAACCAUUUGUUGUUGAAUCGCUCUGGGAGUUCACUAGAGCGAGCUCAGUGGUUCGCAUGGUCAAGUGGUGGCCAGGACUUCUGUCCUCUGAAGGCUUCUUCAGUCACAUGUCUGGGGCCUGGGCUGGGAUGGUCGGAGCACCUAGAGUCAUCUCCUGGCGUCACUGUCACGUAGCCUCUGCACGUGGCGAGCCCAGGCUUCCGCACAGCGUGGCGGUCUCAGGAGUGUCAGAUUCCCACGUGGCAGCCGGCCUCCCCCAAAGCAGACGCCACACAACUAAGGGAUAGGCCUGGACCUGGUGCAGUGUCAUCCAGGGCCCUCCUGCAUUCAAGGGAAUGGAGAAACAGACCCUCCUUUUGAUGGCGCAGUGGUAGGGUCACCCUGCAGAAGAGCAGGUGGGUGAGAGACGGUUUCGCCGACUUUGGGACAUAGAGUUGGUCACAGUCAUCAUAAAAACCAGUUCAUCAGCCUCUCCAGCAGGUCAUCAAAUAGCAUAUGAAUUCAUCAGAUUAAUUAGUUUCAGGGGGGAGGGUACAGCUCAGUGCAUGCUUAGUAUGAACAAGGUCCUGGGUUCAAUACCCAGUCCCUUCACUAAAAAAAAAAAUAGAUAAACCUAAUUAACUCCCUCUGCAAAAAAAUUUAAAAAGAAGAAUAAAUAAAAAUAAAAAAUCAA